UCCUCCUCCUCCCGUAUGCAUUUGCAUCUCUCUCUUCGACUCCCAUUACAGACGGGGGUACGUUGAUGUCAUCGCCGACAGAGAUGAGCUCCUUGGUAGCCUUCUGGUUGAACCUACCUCUUCUCCGGCCAACUUAGACCCAGCCACACUUACACCUCCUCCCGACAACCGUUACUGACCGAACCCUCUCAGAUCCGUUGCAGGACCCACCCUCUGCGUCUUCCCAAGUGACGUCGUCGUAGCUUCACAGCACCACCAUCGACUUCCUCCUCUGCUGCGGAGACUUUCAGAGCAAGUGGAUCAGAGUUUGAAAUUGAAGAAACCAAGAAAUGGACACCCUCUACAAACUGCAGGACUACUACUCUUGCUGAGAAGGAUACAUGUAGAUGUAGCAAGUGUUUUGUAAAAGCCAAAGAAACUGUACAUGGGCUGGGGUUAGCAGUUGCUAUUUCAUCCCACAGACGGAGACGCUAUUGGUAUUGAGUAAUCUUCGAAGAACGUCACCUCUUCAGAGAAGUACUCUGGCAGCAUUCGUUAAGCACUCUCCAAGGUACGGACUCCACCAAUCCCAUGUUUUAGUUUGUUUCUAAUUUCUUGAGUUUUUAGGGGCAUAUUCUGUAAUUAAAGGGGAAGGAGGAGUCCAAAUUGGUUUCGAAAUCUUGAAACUGGUCAAAUUAAAGAAUCAAAAUUCAAAGAUAAUAUGCCACCAAUCACAGGACUCCGAAUUCCGACUCUGCUGCUGCAUUGAAGCAUCACACUUUUCUUCAUAUGUUGGAAACAUAUUUUAUUUUUUUGUGUCUUUUUGGGGUUUUUUCUUUUCAUUUGUUGUAAUUUAAUGACGAAAUUCGAUUGAGACGAAAAAUAAAAAACAUUUUGUAUUCUCAUUUGUUGAUCCAUA